UCAGUUCGGAUUGUAGGCUGCGACCCGCCUGCAUGAAGUUGGAAUUGCUAGUAAUCGCGGAUCAGCAUGCCGCGGUGAAUACGUUCCCGGGCCUUGUACACACCGCCCGUCACACCAUGGGAGCCGGUAAUACCCGAAGUCAGUAGCCUAACCGCAAGGAGGGCGCUGCCGAAGGUAGGAUUGGCGACUGGGGUGAAGUCGUAACAAGGUACC
rnacentral:rRNA from 1 species